GGGUUGUGAGGUUAAGCGACUAAGCGUACACGGUGGAUGCCCUGGCAGUCAGAGGCGAUGAAGGGCGUACUAAUCUGCGAUAAGCGCCGGUAAGGUGAUAUGAACCGUUAUAACCGGCGAUACCCGAAUGGGGAAACCCAGUGUGAUUCGUCACACUAUCAUUAACUGAAUCCAUAGGUUAAUGAGGCGAACCGGGGGAACUGAAACAUCUAAGUACCCCGAGGAAAAGAAAUCAACCGAGAUUCCCCCAGUAGCGGCGAGCGAACGGGGAGGAGCCCAGAGCCUGAAUCAGCAUGUGUGUUAGUGGAAGCGUCUGGAAAGGCGCGCGAUACAGGGUGACAGCCCCGUACACAAAAGCGCAUGUGCUGUGAGCUCGAUGAGUAGGGCGGGACACGUGGUAUCCUGUCUGAAUAUGGGGGGACCAUCCUCCAAGGCUAAAUACUCCUGACUGACCGAUAGUGAACCAGUACCGUGAGGGAAAGGCGAAAAGAACCCCGGCGAGGGGAGUGAAAAAGAACCUGAAACCGUGUACGUACAAGCAGUGGGAGCACCCUUUGGGUGUGACUGCGUACCUUUUGUAUAAUGGGUCAGCGACUUAUAUUCUGUAGCAAGGUUAACCGAAUAGGGGAGCCGGAGGGAAACCGAGUCUUAAC
rnacentral:rRNA from 2 species